rnacentral:ncRNA from 1 species
UUAAAAUCUGUGAAGAAAAGUAAGUAAGUUUAAAAACAGACUUUCAGCGAACUGCAAAGGGUGUGAGUGCAGUAGUUAUGCUUAAAUUGAAUGGGUUUCUGAGAUUGAGGAUGAAAUUAUAGUAGUUUUUCACGUAGGCUCUACGUUAUAAGAGCAAGAUAUGAUAAGUAUCUAUUGAGAGGAAGUUUUUAACUUCUGAAAAUUAGGUGGUACCGCGUUAAUUACGCCCUAUGA